AUUGAACGCUGGCGGCAGGCCUAACACAUGCAAGUCGGACGGUAGCACAGAGAGCUUGCUCUCGGGUGACGAGUGGCGGACGGGUGAGUAAUGUCUGGGGAUCUGCCCGAUAGAGGGGGAUAACCACUGGAAACGGUGGCUAAUACCGCAUAACGUCGCAAGACCAAAGAGGGGGACCUUCGGGCCUCUCACUAUCGGAUGGACCCAGAUGGGAUUAGCUAGUAGGCGGGGUAAUGGCCCACCUAGGCGACGAUCCCUAGCUGGUCUGAGAGGAUGACCAGCCACACUGGAACUGAGACACGGUCCAGACUCCUACGGGAGGCAGCAGUGGGGAAUAUUGCACAAUGGGCGCAAGCCUGAUGCAGCCAUGCCGCGGGUAUGAAGAAGGCCUUCGGGUUGUAAAGUACUUUCAGCGGGGAGGAAGGCGGUGAGGUUAAUAACCUUGCCGAUUGACGUUACCCGCAGAAGAAGCACCGGCUAACUCCGUGCCAGCCGCCGCAGUAA
rnacentral:rRNA from 1 species